rnacentral:rRNA from 1 species
CCUACGGGUGGCAGCAGUGAGGAAUAUUGGUCAAUGGACGAGAGUCUGAACCAGCCAAGUAGCGUGAAGGAUGACUGCCCUAUGGGUUGUAAACUUCUUUUAUAUGGGAAUAAAACGUUCCACGUGUGGGAUUUUGUAUGUACCAUAUGAAUAAGGAUCGGCUAACUCCGUGCCAGCAGCCGCGGUAAUACGGAGGAUCCGAGCGUUAUCCGGAUUUAUUGGGUUUAAAGGGAGCGUAGGUGGAUUGUUAAGUCAGUUGUGAAAGUUUGCGGCUCAACCGUAAAAUUGCAGUUGAAACUGGCAGUCUUGAGUACAGUAGAGGUGGGCGGAAUUCGUGGUGUAGCGGUGAAAUGCUUAGAAAUCACGAAGAACUCCGAUUGCGAAGGCAGUUCACUGGACUGCAACUGACACUGAGGCUCGAAAGUGUGGGUAUCAAACAGGAUUAGAUACCCCAGUAGUC